CCUACGGGACGCAGCAGUAGGGAAUCUUCGGCGAUGGACGAAAGUCUGACCGAGCAACGCCGCGUGAGUGAAGAAGGUUUUCGGAUCGUAAAACUCUGUUGGUAGAGAAGAACGUUGGUGAGAGUGGAAAGCUUAUCAAGUGACGGUAACUACCAAGAAAGGGACGGCUAACUACGUGCCAGCAGCCGCGGUAAUACGUAGGUCCCGAGCGUUGUCCGGAUUUAUUGGGCGUAAAGCGAGCGCAGGUGGUUUAUUAAGUCUGGUGUAAAAGGCAGUGGCUCAACCAUUGUAUGCAUUGGAAACUGGUAGACUUGAGUGCAGGAGAGGAGAGUGGAAUUCCAUGUGUAGCGGCGAAAUGCGUAGAUAUAUGGAGGAAGACCGGUGGCGAAAGCGGCUCUCUGGCCUGUAACUGACACUGAGGCUCGAAAGCGUGGGGAGCAAACAGGAUUAGAUACCCGCGUAGUC
rnacentral:rRNA from 1 species